AAACUUAAGAGUUUGAUCCUGGCUCAGAUUGAACGCUGGCGGCAUGCUUUACACAUGCAAGUCGAACGGCAGCACGGGUGCUUGCACCUGGUGGCGAGUGGCGGACGGGUGAGUAAUGCAUCGGAACGUGUCCUGAAGUGGGGGAUAACGCAUCGAAAGAUGUGCUAAUACCGCAUAUUCUCUGAGGAGAAAAGUAGGGGAUCGAAAGACCUUAUGCUUUUGGAGCGGCCGAUGUCUGAUUAGCUAGUUGGUAAGGUAAUGGCUUACCAAGGCAACGAUCAGUAGUUGGUCUGAGAGGACGGCCAGCCACACUGGGACUGAGACACGGCCCAGACUCCUACGGGAGGCAGCAGUGGGGAAUUUUGGACAAUGGGCGCAAGCCUGAUCCAGCAAUGCCGCGUGAGUGAAGAAGGCCUUCGGGUUGUAAAG
rnacentral:rRNA from 1 species